CCACGGGGGAUUGCUUAGUACGGCGAGUGAAGCGGCAAAAGCUCAAAUUUGAAAUCUGGUACCUUCGGUGCCCGAGUUGUAAUUUGGAGAGGGCAACUUUGGGGCCGUUCCUUGUCUAUGUUCCUUGGAACAGGACGUCAUAGAGGGUGAGAAUCCCGUGUGGCGAGGAGUGCGGUUCUUUGUAAAGUGCCUUCGAAGAGUCGAGUUGUUUGGGAAUGCAGCUCUAAGUGGGUGGUAAAUUCCAUCUAAAGCUAAAUAUUGGCGAGAGACCGAUAGCGAACAAGUACAGUGAUGGAAAGAUGAAAAGAACUUUGAAAAGAGAGUGAAAAAGUACGUGAAAUUGUUGAAAGGGAAGGGCAUUUGAUCAGACAUGGUGUUUUGUGCCCUCUGCUCCUUGUGGGUAGGGGAAUCUCGCAUUUCACUGGGCCAGCAUCAGUUUUGGUGGCAGGAUAAAUCCAUAGGAAUGUAGCUUGCCUCGGUAAGUAUUAUAGCCUGUGGGAAUACUGCCAGCUGGGACUGAGGACUGCGACGUAAGUCAAGGAUGCUGGCAUAAUGGUUAUAUGCCGCCCGUCUUAACCCCCCGAACAAA
rnacentral:rRNA from 1 species